rnacentral:rRNA from 1 species
GUGUCAGCCGCCGCGGUAAUACGGAGGAUCCAAGCGUUAUCCGGAAUCAUUGGGUUUAAAGGGUCCGUAGGCGGUUUUUUAAGUCAGAGGUGAAAUCCUGCAGCUCAACUGUAGAAUUGCCUUUGAUACUGAAAGACUUGAGUUAUUGUGAAGUGGUUAGAAUGUGUGGUGUAGCGGUGAAAUGCAUAGAUAUCACACAGAAUACCAAUUGCGAAGGCAGAUCACUAACAAUAUACUGACGCUCAGGGACGAAAGCGUGGGUAGCGAACAGGAUUAGAUACCCUGGUAGUCCACGCCGUAAACGAUGGAUACUAGCUGUAUGUCUACCUCAGGUAGAUAUGUGGCCAAGCGAAAGUGAUAAGUAUCCCACCUGGGGAGUACGAUCGCAAGAUUGAA